GACGAACGCUGGCGGCGUGCUUAACACAUGCAAGUCGAACGGUAAGGCCCUUCGGGGUACACGAGUGGCGAACGGGUGAGUAACACGUGGGUGAUCUGCCCUGCACUUCGGGAUAAGCCUGGGAAACUGGGUCUAAUACCGGAUAGGACUCCGGACUGCAUGGUCUGGGGUGGAAAGCUUUUGCGGUGUGGGAUGGGCCCGCGGCCUAUCAGCGUGUUGGUGGGGUGAUGGCCUACCAAGGCGACGACGGGUAGCCGGCCGGAGAGGGUGACCGGCCACAGUGGGACUGAGAUACGGCCCAGACGACUACGGGAGGCAGCAGUGGGGAAUAGUGCACAAUGGGCGCAAGCCUGAUGCAGCGACGCCGCGUGAGGGAUGACGGCCUUCGGGUUGUAAACCUCUUUCAGCAUCGACGAAGCGAAAGUGACGGUAGGUGCAGAAGAAGGACCGGCCAACUACGUGCCAGCCGCCGCGGUAA
rnacentral:rRNA from 1 species